AACUUUAACGGUGGAUCUCUAGGCUCGUGCAUCGAUGAAGAACGUAGCCAGUUGCGAUAAGUAGUGCGAAUUGCACAAUUCAGUGAAUCAUCGAAUCUUUGAACGCAAAACACUUUUGUAAAAUCAAUAUGUAUAUUAUCAACUACGAAAGAGGAU